GUGGGGAAUAUUGGACAAUGGGCGAAAGCCUGAUCCAGCCAUGCCGCGUGUGUGAAGAAGGUCUUCGGAUUGUAAAGCACUUUAAGUUGGGAGGAAGGGCAGUAAGUUAAUACCUUGCUGUUUUGACGUUACCGACAGAAUAAGCACCGGCUAACUUCGUGCCAGCAGCCGCGGUAAUACGAAGGGUGCAAGCGUUAAUCGGAAUUACUGGGCGUAAAGCGCGCGUAGGUGGUUUUGUAAGUUGGAGGUGAAAUCCCCGGGCUCAACCUGGGAACUGCCUACAAAACUGCAUGACUAGAGUACGGUAGAGGGUAGUGGAAUUUCCUGUGUAGCGGUGAAAUGCGUAGAUAUAGGAAGGAACACCAGUGGCGAAGGCGACUACCUGGACUGAUACUGACACUGAGGUGCGAAAGCGUGGGGAGCAAACAGGAUUAGAUACCCUAGUAGUCC
rnacentral:rRNA from 1 species